CACACAGUAAACGAUAAUCACUAGGUGUCGGGUUCUCAUAAUGGGUUCGGUGCCGUAGCUAACGCGUUAAGUGAUUCGCCUGGGGAGUACGAUCGCAAGGUUGAAACUCAAAGGAAUUGACGGGGGCCCGCACAAGCGGUGGAGCAUGUGGUUUAAUUCGAGGCAACGCGAAGAACCUUACCCGGGUUUGACAUCCGCAGAAUCGCUCAGAGAUGGGUGAGUGCCGGUUUACCGGAGCUGCGAGACAGGUGC
rnacentral:rRNA from 1 species